ACAUGGCAGCUGCAGCCGAGCGACCGCCGCUGAUUGGGCCGUGGCCCGGCGCCUGGCAGAGACCCUGGGAAGAACUUUGGGGCUCAGAGUGUUGGGCUUUGGGGAGCUGUUUCUGAAAGCAGAGUGGUGGCAGAAAAAGAAAAGCAAAGAAAAGUUUUUCCUGCACCCAGGCUGGAGAGAGAAGGCAGGAGUUCUCGUUCCCUCGUUUUUCAGGUCCCUCCCCAGAGACCCGAAGAGAUAGGCCUGAAGGAGAAUGGACUUGGGGUGUGAAACUUGCCUGUGUUUCUAGAGCACACAUCUAUCCAGGACCCCAAGUUCCUUCUAGCUGCCAAAUGCUCCAUUAGUUCUGAAAUGUAAAUGAUCUCAGCUCCAAAAUAA
rnacentral:lncRNA from 12 species